rnacentral:rRNA from 1 species
GACGAACGCUGGCGGCGUGCUUAACACAUGCAAGUCGAGCGGAAAGGCUCCUUCGGGGGUACUCGAGCGGCGAACGGGUGAGUAACACGUGAGUAAUCUGCCCUUCACUUGGGGAUAACCUCAGGAAACGGUGGCUAAUACCCGAUAUGACGCAUCUCCCCAUGGGGUGUGCGUGGAAAGUUUUUUGGGUGGGGGAUGUGCGCGCGGCCUAUCAGCGUGUUGGUGGGGUAAUGGCUUACCAAGGCUUCGACGGGUAGCGGGCCUGAGAGGGUGAGCGGCCAGACUGGGACUGAGACACGGCCCAGACUCCUACGGGAGGCAGCAGUGGGGAAUAUUGGACAAUGGGCGGAAGCCUGAUCCAGCAACGCCGCGUGAGGGAUGACGGCCUUCGGGUUGUAAACCGCUUUCAGCGCCGACGAAGCGAGAGUGACGGUAGGCGCAGAAGAAGCACCGGCCAACUACGUGCCAGCCGCCGCGGUAAGAC